rnacentral:tRNA from 1 species
GGGCAUGUGGUGUAGUUGGUUAUCACGCUCGCUUAGCAUUACUAGUGUUUGCGAGAGGGGUCCGGUUCGAUCCCGGACAUGUCCA